rnacentral:ncRNA from 1 species
UGAAGGUUUAUCAAAAACAUUGCUAUAGGGGUAGUGUAUGGUAAGGCCUGCCCAGUGAUUAAUUAAACGGCUGCGGUAUAUUGACCGUGCUAAGGUAGCAUAGUCAUUUGUCUUUUAAUUGGAGGCUGGAAUGAAGGGUUUAACAA